AGUGAACGCUGGCGGUAGGCCUAACACAUGCAAGUCGAACGGCAGCACAGUAAGAGCUUGCUCUUACGGGUGGCGAGUGGCGGACGGGUGAGGAAUACAUCGGAAUCUACUUUUUCGUGGGGGAUAACGUAGGGAAACUUACGCUAAUACCGCAUACGACCUACGGGUGAAAGCAGGGGAUCUUCGGACCUUGCGCGAUUGAAUGAGCCGCUGUCGGAUUAGCUAGUUGGCGGGGUAAAGGCCCACCAAGGCGACGAUCCGUAGCUGGUCUGAGAGGAUGGAUAGGCACACCGGGACCGAGGAACGGGCCCGGACCCUAAGGGGAGGAGAAGGGGGGGAAUUUUGGAAAAGGGGGGAAACCCGGACCCGGCCAUCCCGGGGGGGGGAAGAAGGCCUUCGGGUUGUAAAGCCCUUUUGUUGGGAAAAAAAAGCAGCAGGUUAAACCCCCGCUGUUCGAAGGGUACCCAAAAAAAAAGCACGGGCAAACUUCGU
rnacentral:rRNA from 1 species